CGAGAAAGCCCGCAAGGGUGAGUAAAGCGGCGCACGGGUGCGUAACACGUGGGUAAUCUGCCCUGGAGCCCGGAACAACUCGCCGAAAGGCGAGCUAAUGCCGGAUGAGACCACGGGGGCUUCGGCCCCUGAGGGAAAAGGCGGCCUCUGUACACAAGCUAUCACUUCAGGAUGAGCCCGCGGCCCAUCAGCUAGUUGGCGGGGUAAUGGCCCACCAAGGCGACGACGGGUAGCUGGUCUGAGAGGACGAUCAGCCACACUGGAACUGAGACACGGUCCAGACUCCUACGGGAGGCAGCAGUGGGGAAUCUUGCGCAAUGGGCGAAAGCCUGACGCAGCAACGCCGCGUGUGUGAUGAAGGUCUUCGGAUCGUAAAGCACUGUCGCGAGGGACG
rnacentral:rRNA from 1 species